AAAUUCGGCCCUCCCCUUGGAUUUUUUUUAAAGGCCCCCGAUCCUUUGUCCGGCCAAAGGUAGCAUAAUAAUUAGUUUUUUAAUUGAGAACUGGUAUGAAUGGUUGGACGAGGAAAAGGCUGUCUCAAUUUAAUUUAAUUAGAAUUUUAUUUUUAAGUAAAAAAGCUUAAAUGUUUUUAAAAGACGAGAAGACCCUAUAGAGUUUUAUAUAAAAUUAAUUUUUGGCGUAAAAGAAUUUAAAGUUAAAAAAUUAAUUUUGUAUUUGGUUGGGGUGACUAAAAAAUUUAAUGAACUUUUUUUAAAAUAAACCAUUGAUUUUUGAAAAAAGGGACCC
rnacentral:rRNA from 1 species